GAUGGUUCCUCUGUCUCUUUUAUCUCUUCUUCUCUAUUGACCAUCCCCACUUUUAUUCACCUUUCAUCUCUCUUCUCCCCAACUCUAGAAAAAGCUUUCACUUUCUCCUCUUCCAUCCUUGCUUUAACUCCGAAAUUACUGCUGCCCGGGCUUGGGAUCGCAAUGGUUUUGCGGUAUACGGACAAAGGGAUUGUCGGAGAAGCAUGGCUGGAUGCAGGGCGACGGUGAAUCAGAGAUGGAGGAACGUCGGAGGAGGUUGCUGCGUCGGGUGA